UGCGGAAUGGUAAUUUAAAUUAGAGCAAGCGGCGACUGCGGACGGGCAUGAUGCCCGAAACCGUUCGAGAAUGGCGGAAUGUGCGCCUAAUCCCCGGAUUUGCGAGAUCGUUGUGAAAUAUUGUGAUAUGCACGGUGCCCGAGGAACCUGACCCUGCUACAGUUUAGAGGCUACCAAACGAGGCCUACUACGUUCACUGGAGUAUUUUACGACGAUUUUUAGCGGAACUGACUUUAUGGCAGUCAAGGACGGGUCUCUGGGCCAGGUUCCAGCGAUCAGUGUAAAUUGUGACAAUUUUUUGUAGCAGUUCCUGCGAAGACAUCGACAAUGGUCUCAAGCGGCGUAGAUAACUUGGCAACCUUAGGAAGAUAAUGGAACUGCAGCUAAGGACCGUC